GACGAACGCUGGCGGCGUGCUUAACACAUGCAAGUCGAACGAAGUGGCGAACGGGUGAGUAACGCGUAAUCAACCUGCACUUCAGAGGGGGACAAUAGUAGGAAACGACUGCUAAUACCGCAUAACGCAGGAGGGGAUUGCUUGUGAUUAGCUAGUUGGAGGGGUAACGGCCCACCAAGGCGAUGAUCAGUAUCCGGUCCGAGAUGAUGACCGGCCACAUUAGGACUGAGACACGGCCCAGACUCCUACGAGAUGCAGCAGUGGGGAAUCUUCCGCAAUGGACGAAAGUCUGACGGGGCAACUCCGCGUGAGUGAUGACGGCCUUCGGAUUGUAAAGCUCUGUUAAUCGGGACGCGGUACCGGGAUAGAAAGCCACGGCUAACUACGUGCCAGCAGCCGCGGUAAUAC
rnacentral:rRNA from 1 species